UAUCGUUAAAAUGUAAAUUUGUCUAAUGGAGCGCGGGUCAUCUAAUGAUUUCAAAUAAAAAAUUGAACCUAGUUCCUGAAAAAAAACAUUCGUUGUUAAUGCUCAGAUCUUAGCUUUUAAUUGCAGGAUUUUGAGCCAAUUCUCCAAAACCUAGGAAUUUGGCAAUUCGGCAACGAUGGCAACAGGCCACACGUCCCACACCGAUAAGGGCACCAGCACGGCCGUGGCGGCGGCUCGACUAGUUGGCACUGCCGCUACAAGGACCAUCAUCGGGGUAGCAGAAACAAGCAACCGUUUUGGAUGAGCAUUUGUGCCUGGACAGAGGUAGCAGGUGCCUGUGUGCGACAUUGUGCAAGUUUGUUAGGAUGUGAGUGCAAGACUGAUGUAGGUUGGAUUUAUACAGCAUGCCAGAGUCAGGUUAUUGGCUUAUAGCUAAUCCGGGGUGCAGAUGUUGGACUGAAAUUAAUUUAUUCCCAAGGAAUUCCAUUACAAUUAUGCUGUUCAAUUUUUCUAUUUUUUUAUUAGACACAAGAAGGUGCAUGCACAUCUGUAUAACUUGGUGCAAACUUGUGUCCUAUGUUGGUUGGAACAUAAGUCAGAGCCAUAAUUGGAGCUACUUUAACAACUAUCGCUUUACGCAUUGACUGAGAAGCAGGAAUUCUGAAGAUCGACAAACCAGCUAAGUGUCUUCUUUGUCUUCUGUUUUUUUUUCUUUAAGGGUACUGAAACGUUCAACCGUGGGAAAGGAGAGUCCUAGUACUCGUCUUUUAUUUGUUUAUGGAUGGUUCUACCGGAAUGGAGGAUAAGAUCGUGGAUUGAGUUUGACUGUAUAGGCUGGAUUUAAAUGAUUGGGUUACAAGUUGAAUAAUAUCUAAAUGUUGAUCAUUGUUGUACUUUUAGGGAGAUGCUGUCGAAAUUUUGAACAACUUGUUAAUUAAUUUCUGUUGUGUUCAGAACUUGUAGAAAUGUAAAGUAGACUAAACUAGUGUCCAGAGUACUGUAUACCUGUAUCUGACAUUCAUGGAUUUUUUGCUGGAAUCAUCCCAAUAAUUUUAGUUUUAUGUGGAGUUUGAGUUUUCUAAUUUUAUUUCUUUUCCUUUAACUUUUUUUGUAGGUGUUUGAAGAAGGGAAAACUUCUACUCCAGCUAUUCGAUGCACUUUUUCUUAUUUGUCAAAGAACAAAAAUAUUAGAAUUAAACUAGGAACUUGGAUUUAGUUAGUUAUCAUGUUUUUGUUUAUUAGUUCUUAUAAGAUUUUUUGUAUUUUCCAUUUAUGGAAUAUUGUGUAUUUUAUACUUUGGAGAUUAACUAUAAUUUUACACUAAUUUUAUAUGAUUUUCAAUGUGUCUUAUUCAUUUCUAAUA